rnacentral:rRNA from 1 species
GGGGGAUAUUGCACAAUGGGGGAAACCCUGAUGCAGCGACGCCGCGUGGAGGAAGAAGGUUUUCGGAUUGUAAACUCCUGUCGUUAGGGACGAUAAUGACGGUACCUAACAAGAAAGCACCGGCUAACUACGUGCCAGCAGCCGCGGUAAAACGUAGGGUGCAAGCGUUGUCCGGAAUUACUGGGUGUAAAGGGAGCGCAGGCGGGAAGACAAGUUGGAAGUGAAAACCAUGGGCUCAACCCAUGAAUUGCUUUCAAAACUGUUUUUCUUGAGUAGUGCAGAGGUAGAUGGAAUUCCCGGUGUAGCGGUGGAAUGCGUAGAUAUCGGGAGGAACGCCAGUGGCGAAGGCGGUCUACUGGGCACCAACUGACGCUGAGGCUCGAAAGCAUGGGUAGCAAACAGGAUUAGAUACCCUGGUAGUCCAUGCCGUAAACGAUGAUUACUAGGUGUUGGGGGAUUGACCCCCUCAGUGCCGCAGUUAACACAAUAAGUAAUCCACCUGGGGAGUACGACCGCAAGGUUGAAACUCAAAGGAAUUGACGGGGGCCCGCACAAGCAGUGGAGUAUGUGGUUUAAUUCGAAGCAACGCGAAGAACCUUACCAGGUCUUGACAUCCGAUGCAUAGCACAGAGAUGUGUGAAAUCCUUCGGGACAUCGAGACAGGUGGUGCAUGGUUGUCGUCAGCUCGUGUCGUGAGAUGUUGGGUUAAGUCCCGCAACGAGCGCAACCCUUAUUGCCAGUUACUACGUUAAGAGGACUCUGGCGAGACUGCCGUUGACAAAACGGAGGAAGGUGGGGAUGACGUCAAAUCAUCAUGCCCUUUAUGACCUGGGCUACACACGUACUACAAUGGAUGUUAACAGAGGGAAGCAAGACAGCGAUGUGGAGCAAACCCCUAAAAACAUUCUCAGUUCAGAUUGCAGGCUGCAACCCGCCUGCAUGAAGAUGGAAUUGCUAGUAAUCGCGGAUCAGCAUGCCGCGGUGAAUACGUUCCCG